AUUGAACGCUGGCGGCAUGCUUUACACAUGCAAGUCGAACGGCAGCACGGGGGCAACCCUGGUGGCGAGUGGCGAACGGGUGAGUAACACAUCGGAACGUGCCCAGUUGUGGGGGAUAACCUAUCGAAAGGUAGGCUAAUACCGCAUGAGCUCGGCAAGAGGAAAGCGGGGGACUCAGCGAUGGGCCUCGCGCGACUGGAGCGGCCGAUGUCCGAUUAGCAGUUGGUGGGGUAAAGGCUUACCAAGGCGACGAUCGGUAGCUGGUCUGAGAGGAUGAUCAGCCACACUGGGACUGAGACACGGCCCAGGCUCCUACGGGAGGCAGCAGUGGGGAAUUUUGGACAAUGGGGCAACCCUGAUCCAGCCAUGCCGCGUGAGUGAAGAAGGCCUGGUGU
rnacentral:rRNA from 1 species